UUUCAAAAAAACCGCCUCUUUUCAAGAACCAAGAAACCUCAAUGAGAAAUUUGGAGAUACAAAUGGGCCAACUUGCUCAAAGAACAGAGAAAUCCACC